UGGAUCUGGCUUCUUUCUAUCAUUCUCAUCUAGAAGAUCAUCUGAAUCAAUUAUAUCCUAAUUAAAUAGAUAAUUGAUACAUUAAAUGGGAAAUCCACCAGAAGACUCAACACAAGGGUUCAUAAUAAGGAUUAGUUUACAUACAACAUCAUCAUCAUUCAUAUCUUGUGCUGACAAGGUCCACACUUUCGCAGCAUUUUCUGAUGGAAUUUCUGAAAAUAUAAAGUUGCCAUUGAUAUAAUCUUCUUCGCUGUGAGUGAACAUUUUAAUGAUCACCCUAAAAUGAAUUACCAGCAAAAAUCAAUUGGGAGGAACAGACCUGUUUGUGGAAGGAGAGGUUUUACGUACCUGUGAAAUAUCAACAAAUCCGGAUAAUUUUAGUGUUGAUACCAGUUUGUCUUGGGUGACUAGUGUGUUGAUGUUUCCUAUCAAUAAGACAAUCAUGGAAAAUUAGCAAUGGAUAGAUGCAAGGAUAUCCAAAUCGUGGAUGAAAGUUGAUGGAAAAGUCACACCAGAAUAUAUAUGGUCGAAGGAAGAUUCUGUGUGCGACGCUGAAAAUAUUAAGAGGAAAAGGUUCAACUUCAAAAUGGAUUGCUUCUGGUAUAUUUGAUCAGCUAAAAUGAUUUAUUUUCAUUACAAAUAAGAUUUGUAGAUGUAUAAUUGCACAAUUAAUCUAAAGUAAAUCUGAAUUUAACACUGAAAACUUACACAAUUU